rnacentral:rRNA from 1 species
GGCGGCGUGCUUAACACAUGCAAGUCGAACGAUGAAUCCCUUCGGGGUGGAUUAGUGGCGAACGGGUGAGUAACACGUGGGCAAUCUGCCCUUCACUCUGGGACAAGCCCUGGAAACGGGGUCUAAUACCGGAUACGAGGCUGGGAGGCAUCUGUGAACUUGGAAAGCUCCGGCGGUGAAGGAUGAGCCCGCGGCCUAUCAGCUUGUUGGUGAGGUAAUGGCUCACCAAGGCGACGACGGGUAGCCGGCCUGAGAGGGCGACCGGCCACACUGGGACUGAGACACGGCCCAGACUCCUACGGGAGGCAGCAGUGGGGAAUAUUGCACAAUGGGCGAAAGCCUGAUGCAGCGACGCCGCGUGAGGGAUGACGGCCUUCGGGUUGUAAACCUCUUUCAGCAGGGAAGAAGCGCAAGUGACGGUACCUGCAGAAGAAGCGCCGGCUAACUACGUGCCAGCAGCCGCGGUAAUACGUAGGGCGCAAGCGUUGUCCGGAAUUAUUGGGCGUAAAGAGCUCGUAGGCGGCUUGUCACGUCGGAUGUGAAAGCCCGGGGCUUAACCCCGGGUCUGCAUUCGAUACGGGCUAGCUAGAGUGUGGUAGGGGAGAUCGGAAUUCCUGGUGUAGCGGUGAAAUGCGCAGAUAUCAGGAGGAACACCGGUGGCGAAGGCGGAUCUCUGGGCCAUUACUGACGCUGAGGAGCGAAAGCGUGGGGAGCGAACAGGAUUAGAUACCCUGGUAGUCCACGCCGUAAACGGUGGGAACUAGGUGUUGGCGACAUUCCACGUCGUCGGUGCCGCAGCUAACGCAUUAAGUUCCCCGCCUGGGGAGUACGGCCGC